CCCUUAGAUGUUCUGGGCCGCACGCGCGCUACACUGAUGCAUUCAACGAGUUUCUUCCUGGUCCGAGAGGAAUGGGUAACCUUUUGAAAGUGCAUCGUGAUAGGGAUAGACUAUUGCAAUUAUUGGUCUUCAACGAGGAAUUCCUAGUAGACGUAGUUCAUCAGACUGCAUCGAUUACGUCCCUGCCCUUUGUACACACCGCCCGUCGUUUCUUCCGACUGAUACUCAUUGUGAGUUGCAAGGAUCCUUUAUUGGAAAAUUGCCGCGAAUGCUUUGUAUUGGAGGAAGAAAAAGUCGUAACA
rnacentral:rRNA from 1 species